rnacentral:rRNA from 1 species
UGAGCAAUCUGCCCUUCUCAUCGGAAUAAGCGUUGGAAACGACGUCUAAUGCCGAAUACGACCUCCUUUCGCAUGAUCGGAGGUGGAAAGCUCCGGCGGAGAAGGAUGAGCUCGCGGCCUAUCAGCUUGUUGGUGGGGUAAUGGCCCACCAAGGCAACGACGGGUAGCCGGCCUGAGAGGGUGACCGGUCACACUGGGACUGAGACACGGCCCAGACUCCUACGGGAGGNAG